UUUUGGGCUGGUCAAUGGAAAGCCCAGAACAGAAUUCUACAUUUACCCUUGCAACGUGGCUAGUCCUCUACCUUAAGUUUAAGUAACACCCCUCUGUACUUUGUUCCAAGGGUAAGGGAAACGUUGCACUUCUACAUUUUCACCAUUUUUUCGUGCUUCUUUGCAAAAAGAUAAAAAGAUGGAGCCUGUCAGACAACCGUGUAACCAUCCCAGCCAGUUUUAACACUGUCUGAGAACGAUCCUCCAUUGCCACAGAUGACACUCUCAGAAGAGAAGCCAUCAGAGCCAUUAAUCACGCUCUGAUCACACGGUCAUGAUUCAUCAACCAGGUUUAGGUUCUUGUCUCCUUAGAACUCAAGGACACAAUGGUACGAGCCUAUAGAACAGAUCCUGUUCAAGUAAGGUCGUGACCAUUCAUCUCCCGUUUUGCGUAUAUAAACCUUUUUUAUUUUGUAAUUUCUCUUGAUGUGGGACUAAAUUCAUCUAUCUUUGCAGCACUUUGUUGACAUAUCGGGUUAUAUAAAUCUGGAAACAUCGUAGAGCAAAGAUGAAAAUGGAGAGUUUAUUCGGUAAAGCAUUAGCAAUGUGCAUGGGAUAAUCGAUAUAAAUAUGAAAUCAUGCCGUUCUCUAGUAAAGAUACAUAGUACGAGUUAACUUAUGUCAUUUGUAGUGCUACUUCUAUUAGGUUUUAAUCAACUUUUGCUUCAUCAUAUGAGGAACACCUCAUGAUAAAAUUCUUUCUUGUUUAUUGUUAUUCAUUCAUGUAGGUGAGUUCACAUCACUAAUUACUCUUAUUAUCUUUAUUCUUUCUUAACUUAUGUGACAAUUUGGUUCAUUUUUUAUAGCGAACCAAUUCAGAAAAGAACCAAUUUAACAACCAAUUUGUGGUUCUGUACCAAACUGAGAGAAUUGUCUUCCAAUAAUCUGAAUUUCUGCACUACUAUGAUAGGAUGAUGAUGAUGCCUAUUUUAUAACUUGAUGUCUCUAAUGUACAAGUAUAAGGAUCACUCUAGUGAAUUGGAUCUUUUGAAGUCAACCAACGUAACAAUUUUAUAUUACUUUUAUUGAUUAGUGGUUAUGAUUACUUUGUUUAACCAGUGGUUGUUUAAGAUAGUGUUAAUAGUUCUGGCAAGAUGAAGAGUAUUAGAUCUAUUUAUUUCUCUUCUCUGUGAUAAGUCCCAUACUGAAGAAGUACUUACUAAGCAAUAAAGCAUAUGCCAAUAUAAAACAUGGCUUAUAGAAUAGAGUAUACCAAUGUCCCAUACUGAAAUUUAUAAAUGCAACAAUUGCACAACUAAUGGUAAGUUUGAUUAGUAAUGUCAUCAUUGUAUCAUUUCUGCUGUAAUCUUUACUCAGUACCCACAUUGUCACAGCAAACAGAUGAACGCAAUUUGUGGAAUAUCAAUCAUCAGGUUUAAUGCCUGGGAGAACUAGGCCUGCAUCAUUUUGGUGUCCUUACAGGGCUUGUAAAAUUAGCUCACUUAUGGCAAUAGACCAAUAGUUCCUCAAAGAUAGUUUUAGUUACAUUUAAACUAUACCCUACUUAAUACUUAUGAUGCAUUCUGAUUACUUUUUCUUAAUGUCUGAUUUGCCAAUUAAAUGACUUGCCAAAGAUUAUGAGAAGCUACACUGCUCUUGAUUUGUUAUAAUAAUAUUUCCCUUUGAAGUUUGAGCACUGUGUAUCCACAACUGUAGCAAAUUAAAUGAUUUUGCCAAAGAGUGUGAGAAACUAUACUGCUCUUGAUUUUCUGGAGGUUGUCAAUUUCCCAAAUAGAACAUUUAAGGUCUGUAGAAGCUAAUAGUUCUACCAAGUUGGCCAAAAAUCAUAGAGUAAUUUCCAAUAUGUUUGUGAGUACAAAAACAAGCCAUAUAAGUAGUCUAUAGAAGCUAACUAACUAAUAACAUAUUUAACUAACUUUCUAAAUAUAGAAAUGGAUGAAAACGGUUAAGGUAACUUGUAGCUCAAGUAAUAGUGGUGUAUGAGCCAAGUUGGCAAUCUGGUGCACCAACUUGAAUGACUGAUGCGCCUUGGUGCACAUUAUUUGGUGCGUCUUGAUGCACGUCUGUUGUGCCUUGGUGUGGUGGUGUAGUGGUGAGAGGGUUCGUGCUUGGUGUGCCUUGCUCGGUCAAGCUGAUGCAACUUUGGUGCAUGGAUGAGGCAAGUUUCUCGGCCAGGUUGUUGCGUCUCUGGUGCAUGGCUGAUGUAGGAUCCUCGGUCAGGUUGGUGUGUCUCUGGUGCAUGGUUGAUGCAGGAUUUUCGAUCAGAUUUGUUUGGCUUCCUCAGUCAGGUUGUGCGUGUUGGUCCGUGGGUGAUGCAAUUUUCUCGGUCAACUUGGCUUGGUCAUUUGGCUGCGAUGUUGGGAUGUUUGCCUUGUGUUGUGAUGUUUGGGCUAAUAGUAUAUCAAUGUUUUAUAUAUGAUAGUUGUUAUGAAUUUUUUUUUUAAUAUUAUUUUGAAAAUAAAAAUGUAAAAAGGUUGUACAAUGAAGAAAAUAGAUAUGUCUAUCACAAUUGUUUCAAUGAAUUUAUUUUUAAUUGUUAUUUUGAAAAUAAAACGUAAAACUUUGUGCACUUUGUAGAAGACAUAUACGCCUAUCAUACUAUCAUUCUCAAACUGCAAAAAAUGUGUAUCACUCUUACAUUUGAUUUUGAAAAUAUAAAAAUUAAAUAAAAACUUUAAGUGUAAAGUAAAAGACAAAUAUUUGUGUAGCUAUAUUGAAAAUAGAGAUCAAUGAAUGAUGUUUUUACAAAGAUACUUCAAAAUAACUACUCAGGUUUUAUUAUAGACUCCUUUGGAAUAAGGCUAUGAAAAAAACUAUUCUAACCAUAUGAAAUGUAAAAAAAUCAUUAUUAGAUAUGACAACGGAUAUAUACCUAUGACGCUAUGCUACAAGAUCAACGCAUCCCCCGCAAGACAACAUCAACUUACGCUUUGAUUACAAAGUCAUGAUUUAUUAAAUUGGUACGAGCCUAUAGAACAAAUCUUGUUCAAGUAAGGUUGUGACUAUUUGUCUCCAAUUUCGAGUAUAUAAACAUUUCUUGUUAUUCAGGAUGUGGGACUAAAUUCAUGUUUCUCCAGUACUAUAAUAAUAUGAUGAUGAUGGAAAGAAAAAUAUACAUAAUAUAUAUAUAUAUAUAACCUAUGUAGGAAAGGAAAACUAUCUAGAAAAAGAAAGAUCUACACAAAUUAGAAGUUGGAACUUUGAAUAACACAUAAAUAUAGGAGUUUCUAUUAGACUUUUAAAACUUUUAUGAGCUUUUAAUGGUUCAUAAGAACCCUUUAAUUUAAGACCUUAACAUUAUGACAUUCACAUGUGAUAAAAGAAUAUAGUAGAAAAUACCUUGUUUGAUGAUUAGGAAGUCAGUUUCCUUCCUUCUCUAUAUGGCAUUGCACUUUCUUUACUUAGCCACUAAUGCUCCUCUAAUUCUCACUUUGUGUUUCUAUUCAUGAGAUAGUAAAUGAUGACAUGUAAUUGAAUGUUUUUCCAAUGCAUGAGUGUCUAUAUUUAUAGAAGGGUUUAUGAGAAGUUAUUGGAGAAAGUAACUCCUCCACUUUCACGGAAACUACCCAUGAAGUGAGAGAUGAGAGAGUUAACAACUCCUCCACUAGUUUGAUCCAUCAAUUGCCAACUAUCAUCACAUUAAGUACUUUCAUUUAAACUAGUAACUUCCAAGAACGUGAACCAUUAAUUAGAAUUAAUCUAAUAGUUUCUAUUCCACAUAGAUCAAUCAUUGCUUUCAAACGUUGUUCUAUUGUCCUCAAACAUUGUUUCAGUUCUUAGUUGGUUGAUUUUUUAUAUAGGGCUUUACUAUUUUCCAUUUCAUUGUUACUAUUAUGCGUUUCAUUUUUCAUUGUCUUAACGUUGUUUCCAUUUCAUUGUUUCUAUUCAUUGCCUUCGAAUAAAACUAUUUGAUUUUUUGUUUGAUUUAUUACUUCUGUUUCGUUGUUUUCGAUAUAUGUUUAACAUUGUUUUCAUUUUAAUGUUUUUAUUCAUUAUCUUCUAAGUUGUUUCAUUCCCUUUAUUCUUUGUUUGCUGCAUUGUUUCUAUUCUCUCUUUUAAUCUUUGUAAUUUUAUUAUUUUUAUUCUACUUUGUUUCUAUUAUAUUCUAUUUUGUUUGCAAUGAUUUUAGUUGUUGCCACAAUAAUUAUAGAAAGAGAUUUUUUAGCUAUAAAGAUUAUGAAUUAGGUUACGUAAUUAAAUGAGAGAUGCAUGAGUGAAAGUCAGUCUAGUUACUCAUAUUGAGCGAUUGUUCAACAACUUUCACAUUAAUUUAUAUUUAAAUUUUGUAAUUUUGAUAUUAAUGUUUUUAUAUAUAAUAAUAUAUUUUUUAAAUUUUUUAACAUUGUUACGCACUCUACUCCGGGAUCCUAGAUACGUCACUGACUAGGACAAUAUAUUUAAUACAUCAAAUAAAAAAAUAAAAAAUAUUUUUAUAUCAUAUAUAAUGAGCAUAUAUAUGUCAUUUGAGAUAUUCAAUCUCUUUCAUUCCACUAAUUUUUCAUUCCCAAAAUCAAUCAACUAAAAAUCAUAUCAUUUUGUAUUAUUUUGCAUUCUUUCAACUUUCACUUCUUUUUUUUUCCUUCCCCAUUUUGUUCCUUCAACCAAACAUAACAUUAAAUAAGUAGUGUGUAAUUUAUUUGAUUAACUACAUUUAAAUUUUGUAAUUUUGAUAUUAAUGUUUUUAUAUAUAAUAAUAUUUUUUUAAAUUUUUCAACGUUGUUACACACCAUGCUCCGGGAUCCUAGAUACGUCACUGACUAGGACAAUAUAUUUAAUACAUCAAAUAAAAAAUAAAAAAUAUUUUUAUAUCGUAUAUAAUGAGCAUAUAUAUGUCAUUUGAGAUAUUCAAUCUCUUUCAUUCCACUCAUUUUCCUUCAUCCCCAGAAUCAAUCAACUAAAAAUCAUAUCAUUUUCCAUUAUUUUGCAUUCUUUCGGUUCUUUUAUUUUCCUUUCCCAUUUUGUUCCUUCAACCAAACAUAGCAUUAAAUAAGCAUAUGAUUUUUUCAGCCUUUUAAAAUUUUCAAUAAAUUACAUUUUUAAUAGAGAAUGAUGUAUCUUUUAAUAUAUGGUGAUAAGUUAUCUCCUACAACUAAUAAAAUCACGACAUUUGUCAUAAUUAAUUAUUUUGUACAAAAAUAUUACUAAAACAGAAUAAAAUAAUAUGUGUCAUACUUUUACUGGUAGGAAGAUUUUAUACUCUAUUUAAUAUGUUAACUAUACAAUUUAAUAUAUUUGAAGUAUACGAUUUUUCAAUGUGGAAAUUACUUUUUUUUUUCUUUCUUUAAAGUUAUUGUAGGACAAUGACAGAAAAAAAAAACAAUUUUUUUGGGUUAAAAAAAACACAAUUUAAAAUUACAUUUAAGACAAGUUUGGAAAAGGUGUUUAUUUUGGGUUAGUCCAUGGGAAGCCCAAAACAUUGAGGAGUCAUCAUCUACCUCAGGAACUAAAACGUCUCUGUGCUUUCAUCGAAGGUUAAGUAAAACACUGUGCUUCAACAGUUCUUAUAUUGCAUGUUCAAUUCAUUCACUGCUUGUGUUGUAUGCAAAGGUAAUUUAACCACACUCUUUAUAUACUCACAACCACACUCUUUAUAUACUCACAUUCUAUUAUUUAAAUAUGCACUUUUUGUGUUACUCACACUUCUCCUUUGCACAAAAAAAAAAGUCAUAACAAAAUGGAAAUAUGAAGAAAAAGAUGGAGCCUGUCAGACAACCGUGUAACCAUCCCAGCCAGUUUUAAAACUGUCUGAGAACGAUCCUCCAUUGCAACAGAUGACACUCUCAGAAGAGAAGCCAUCAGAGCCAUUAAUCACGCUCUGAUCACACGGUCAUGAUUCAUCAACCAGG
rnacentral:lncRNA from 1 species